rnacentral:rRNA from 1 species
UACGGGUGGUGCAAGUGUUAUUCCUCGUGACUAGGUGUAAAGGGUGCGUAGAUGGAAUGAAGAGAGCUAACUAAACAAGAACUUAUUUUUUCACUCUUUUUUUCUAGAAUUUAAUAGAUGAUAAUGGAACUUCAUGCAUUAGAGUUAAAAUUCAAUUAACUUGAAGGAACGCCGAGAGCAAAGGCAAUUAUCAAUUUUAAAUUGACGUUGAGGCACGAAAGGAUGGGGAUCAAAUGGG